UCUCAGCCUCUUCAGUGAUGCUCGGUCAGGAUGGACCACACAGGUCACAAAUAGUUUACCAGCUCUGUGGCCUCUCCUUCACCAGCGUGUAUGUAGCUAUGGCAGGAGGACACCGUGACUUCUAAGAACAGGGCUUUAAGCUCAGGAACCGAUGGUAUAUUAUAUGGUGGCCCCACCCAUAACUAUCUUUUGUGAUGCGUCAUCCUUCCCAUCUCAGUGGGGUCCAGAGGGCUGUGGGAGGCUGUUGGGCUAUUCUGCAGAGCUCAGUGGGGUUGUACAAGCACACUUCCCACACUUCCCAGCCCCCAGCAGCUUGCUUCUUUCUGGCCCUGGUCUUGACUGGAGAUUUGUUCCACUGAGGGUGAAGACAGAGGCUUCCACGGCUGCCAGGCACUCUUUCCAUCACCUCAUCCUCCCUGGACAUCCAUCCUCAGCGGUCCUCUACCUUUCCUGCUUUGGGCCUGUGAGUGAAAAUGCUUACCUGUGGAGCUACCUUCCUGUUCCUGAAGACAUUUCUUCAAGAUGCCAUCUAUGAAGGUCAGU